GGCACGCACGGAAAUACCUGGCGCAUCCGGAGUUCCUCCAAAUAAAGAGAGCCUCCUCGGACCUCGGUGCAUCAGCCUGAGACGGUGACCCCAAAGCACUCAACAACCUGACCACCAAUCUCAAGAAAAAAGCUUCACCAUGAUCAGCACCAAGACCCUUCUUGUCGGCCUUCUGGUCCUGGCCCUCGUGUUUGCCGUCGCCACGGCUCAGUUCCAUCGUGGAUUUGGUGGUGGACGUGGAUUCGGCGGUGGACGCGGAUUCGGUGGCGGACGCGGCUUCGGCGGUGGACGUGGAUAUGGAGGUGGACGCGGCUUCGGCGGGCAUGGCGGAUUUAGAGGAUAGCAUAUAUCCAGAUGACGUGUCUGAGUGAGGCGACAAUGUAAAGGAAAAUAUGAAGUGCUUCUUCAAGGCCUGCCAGACUACGCUUUUUAUAAAAUGAUGCUUUUACCGGAGGAUGCAUAUACAAGUCCUUGCGCCAAACAGACAUCAUCAUUUUCUACUUGUAUAACAGCUCUGGUCUGUGUUGUGUUUUGAAUUUCUGUCAAUCAAUGAUCACGGUGUAGAACACAUGUGUACACCGCAUGAGACUGCACUCCAUCUCUACACCGCUUGAGACUGCAUUCCAUACAGCAAUAUGAAUACGCAUACAGGAGCAUUGUGCCCUGUUUGGUUACCAGAAAUAAAAUAUGCAUUUAGAAGAACA